UUUGCUGCUGCGUGUUGACGGGGUGUUAACUUUUGAGUGUUGCUACCUGUUUAUUAAGAACAUUCUGGAUCGAGCUACAAGGCAGACACCUCGUUGAUUCCUCUGGCUGGACUUCAAUAAUAAUUAAAGAAGACUGAAUAACAUGCAAAGUGCAUUGAAGGACAGAAGAUUUUAAUUUUCUCUCAAGCAAAGCGGCCAAUGAGUUCUCACGGCACACUAUCAUGCUCCGUGUGAUUAAAGCCCGUAACUUUCAAGAACGACUUGGUUUCGUGAUUUGGACUUGAGGGGGAAUUACAGUGAGAACUCAGCCACCGCGACGCGAGGGGAGAGCGUGACCAGCAGCAGCAAGGAGCCAGUGCGCGCGCCCGUCUCUCGUCGUCGGAGCUGUGAAGAUGUUCGAGGUUUGGGAGGAGCCACUCGUCAAAGGACAGUAUGCAACCUGCCAGUAACCUAAGACAGUUGUGUGGUUAUGCCAACGUGAAGCACGUUUGAGCCAAGUUAAAUGUGAAGACGUAGAGUAGCCUUUACAACUGCUAAAGAA